rnacentral:rRNA from 1 species
CAGCAGCCGCGGUAAUACGAAGGGGGCUAGCGUUGUUCGGAAUUACUGGGCGUAAAGCGCACGUAGGCGGACAUUUAAGUCAGGGGUGAAAUCCCGGGGCUCAACCCCGGAACUGCCUUUGAUACUGGGUGUCUUGAGUGUGGAAGAGGUCAGUGGAAUUGCGAGUGUAGAGGUGAAAUUCGUAGAUAUUCGGAGGAACACCAGUGGCGAAGGCGGCUCACUGGUCCAUUACUGACGCUGAGGUGCGAAAGCGUGGGGAGCAAACAGGAUUAGAUACCCCCGUAGUCCCUGUCUCUUAUAC